CCAUAAGCAAGAACUGACUCAUUUUAUUUCAAAUGCUUUUUAUUGCAUAUUGUUGCUAUGCACAGUUAGAUAUCCAACUAUUACAUUGCGAAUGAAGUUUAUCGGGCGUUGAGGGGGCUAUGAUGACUAAACGUGAUUUGCCAGCUCAUAUUCUGUGACUUUGGAAGUGCAAAGGUUCUGGUAAUUUAAAAAAUAUAUAUAUAGAUUUCAAUACAAAAAUAUCAUUCAUCAUUUGGUGAGCAUUGAUUUUUUUUAUUAUUUCAAUUUUGAGUUGCUCAUAGUUAAUUGUAUCUUAUCGCAUUUCAAACUAGACAUGGAAUGGCGGGAGGCAAAGCAAACGAAGUGGCUCUGAAUCAGCUUCAACUUUUGGUGGAAGCAGAUUGAAAAGGAGGACAAAUAGGGCUACUUCCUAGCAACCCUUUAAGCUCAGAAUAGAGGUUAGCAUUUACAGUUGCUUAUGAGACAGUGUUGGUUCUGGCUUGCAGUUUGUUUGGGACUGGAAGGUGUUCUUUUUGAAGACUAGCAUUGUUCGUAUUGCAUUACAUGGGCGCUGUUCCUAGAAAAGAGCCUCGCCAUCACUGUCGGAACAUCAACUCUGCUGCACCGCCACUGGUCAAUUUUACGUUGUCGUUUAUCUGAAAAAGGUGGCAUAAAUUUGGGCACUGGGAAAACGACUUCUAGGCUUGCACGUUCUAUGUGAUUUGCAUACAUUAUCAAGGGCUUGCACUUCCAACCUCUUAGAAAUGGCUUCAUUAAUAUAAAUCUUUUGCCUUUAUUUUUUCAAUCCUACCUGCUGAUAUUUUUUAUAUAAUCUAUAGUAUUAACUACCUGUCACUACUGUGAAGCAAGCAAUGCCAUUAUCACCUCUUCUACCCAUCAGCAUUGCAAAAGUCGUCAGCCGCCAUUACCUAGUGUAAACGUCAUCUUAGGUAUCAUAUAUCAUAUUCUCGCAAUCGUCGCUAAGUCGCUACCUUACGUAUAAGUAAUUCGCAAGGGGGAUUGUUUAGUUUGGAGAGGUUUAUGAGAGUACGGAGAAUAUGGCGUAUAAGGUAUUGGCGAGGGCGAUUGUUACGUUUGCAGAGGUUUAUGAGAGGAUGGAGAAUAUGAAGCAAGAGAAGAUGGUGAGGUUGGAGAAGCAAAGGAUGGAAUUUACUAAAGAGCUUGAGUUUCACAGGUUGAACAUGUUUAUGGAAACUCAGGUUGUGCUUGAAAAAAAAUGAAAAAUAAGAACAAGAGAUCAUCUGCUACAGGUUCCAUGGGUUCAGUAUAUCAUUUUUAAACUUAAUCUUUUGGCUUAUGAUCCUAUCUAUGUUAUGAGUCAAACAAUUGGGUCAAAACAUAUAUGUUUUAGAAGUGAUUUUUGUAAAGGAUUUUAAUGUAAAUACGUGACAAUCACAUAUAUACUCCUGAACUUUUAGAUACACAAAUUUAGAAUAAAGUGUUUUGGUCGCAGUGGCGGAGCUUGAACGAAAAGUCAGUGGGGAACUCUCAAAAUCCAAAUCGUUGAGGGUCGGACUAUUAAAAAUCUAAUAUCUUACACAAAAAAAAAAUUUAAAAUUUUUGGUAAAACUAAAACUAUGACCCCUCGGCCCCAAUAAAGAGUGUGCAAUGCUUGAGAUACACAUAUUUUGUCUAAACUGAGAUAAAUACCAAACUCAAGUUUUUGACAUAUUUAUUAAAGUUGAAUCAGUAACGGGAGAACUUUGUUUACUUUCAGGUCAUCCUUUUGUAUAUAUUGUACUAAUCCUCUCAUUGAGGAUCAUUUUAGUUUUAAUACAACACACUCAAAUGUCUUCCGAAACAAGUCAAAGAGAUCUGCAUAAUGUGUUCAUGUUUGACCUCAAAAGUCGAAACCUGCAUGUAUUUUUCUCUUCAAAGAAUGAGAUUUGUUUAAUCUAAUCAUAUUUA